rnacentral:rRNA from 1 species
UACGUAGGGUGCGAGCGUUGUCCGGAAUUAUUGGGCGUAAAGAGCUCGUAGGCGGUUUGUCGCGUCUGCUGUGAAAACUGGGGGCUCAACCCCCAGCCUGCAAUGGAUACUGGCAGGCUAGAGUGUGUCAGAGGAUGGUGGAAUUCCCGGUGUAGCGGUGAAAUGCGUAGAGAUCGGGAGGAACAUCAGUGGCGAAGGCGGCCAUCUGGGACAACACUGACGCUGAGGCACGAAAGCGUGGGGAGCAAACAGG